rnacentral:rRNA from 1 species
GAACGCUGGCGGCGUGCCUAAUACAUGCAAGUAGAACGCUGAAGAGAGGAGCUUGCUCUUCUUGGAUGAGUUGCGAACGGGUGAGUAACGCGUAGGUAACCUGCCUUGUAGCGGGGGAUAACUAUUGGAAACGAUAGCUAAUACCGCAUAACAAUGGAUGACACAUGUCAUUUAUUUGAAAGGGGCAAUUGCUCCACUACAAGAUGGACCUGCGUUGUAUUAGCUAGUAGGUGAGGUAAUGGCUCACCUAGGCGACGAUACAUAGCCGACCUGAGAGGGUGAUCGGCCACACUGGGACUGAGACACGGCCCAGACUCCUACGGGAGGCAGCAGUAGGGAAUCUUCGGCAAUGGGGGCAACCCUGACCGAGCAACGCCGCGUGAGUGAAGAAGGUUUUCGGAUCGUAAAGCUCUGUUGUAAGUCAAGAACGGGUGUGAGAGUGGAAAGUUCACACUGUGACGGUAGCUUACCAGAAAGGGACGGCUAACUACGUG